CAGACACACACACAGCUAAAUACACACAAAUUCACAACAAACUUAAUUUUUUACACCUUUCUUGUUUUGAUCAGUUAAAAAUACAUAAUGAAGCAAUAGAUAAUGAACAGCCAAGCUUAAGGUUGAUUGAUAGAAAACAUUAAAAAGACAUUAUAAUCAACAGGUCCUUGACCUGCAGUGAGGAAUGAUGGCCAAAUUUAAACAUUUCUAGAUGUUUCUGUCACAAUCUAUGGCUGCAGUCUUCUGUGUUGUGUGUUUGUGUAUUUCUGUUUGCCUGCAGAGGUGCACUGGAAGGCUGGGCGGAGUUUGCAGUCUCAGGAGGGAUCUGACGUACACGCACCUGCAGCAGGUUGUUAAUCACUGCCUGCUUUAAAGCCUGGGACCUCACGCGACCUGCUGCCAGAUGAUUUUGUUAACCAUACGCAUAACCUCCAGUACCUCCAGUGUGCCAGUACCUCAGCAGCUCUGCAGCUCUGCACCUGGUCUGUGCUCUACCGAGUGUCUACAUACCACCCAGUUCUCCAGCCUCUGUGUGCUACCUCUCCAUUAUUCUCCACCUCAUGAACUCAGUCUCAACUGCCUUCAAGUCUAACCCUCACCUACUGUGACUCAACUUGUGUUUAAAUAAUGUUGCUUUGCAUCCAGCUCCAGUGUCGUGUCCGCUUUUAAGUUCCACCUAAGUUAAGAAGCCUAACAGUGUCAUUCAUGUAUUUAUUUGGGACUCGUAGUUAGAGUCAUUUUUACACCUAAAAUUUACAAUGACAUUGUUGCAUGAUAUGAUUUUAUAUUAUCUUAAAGAUUUACGUAACAGUUUUUGGGAGAUAUGCUUUACUCGCAGAGAGAGAGGAGAGAAGGGAAGCUGACAUGCAUGCAAGGCAGUUAGCUUAGCCUGGCAUAAACACUGGAGGGAGAGCAGUCAAGUUCAAAAUACAACUAACAAUACCUCAGAGUUCUAUAUUUAUAAUUAACAUGUCAGACUUUUCAAAACUGACAUACACCGCAUGCUCAGUGGUGAACAACAGACAA